UGCAGCUGAGUCAAAUUCGGUCCCCAUCCAGCCCGUGCUGGGGACCGGCCAAACAGCUGCCACAGCAACAUCUGCAGCUCCUGAGCCCCACUGUCCCUUGACCCUGGGGCUGAAUAAAUGCUGCAGACACCG
rnacentral:snoRNA from 1 species